GGAUGUAAAGGAUUUGGAUUAUUUGAGAGGUACCCCUCCCCAGCAAGCUCCCACGCCGGUCGAGGUCUUCAUCCCCCACUGUUAUCUCAAUCACCCCAUCUGAUGGUUCUGCAUCCACUCGUAUUAGGCCUCAUGAAAAAGAAAAGAAGGGCUUGUGGCACCAUUCGUACUAACAGAACCGGUUUCCCGAGACCAAGGUAAACAGCAUGACAAAGACAGUGGAGAAGGGGACCAUACGUUGGAUCAGGACUAACAAGCUGCUGUUUGUGAAAUGGAAGGACACUAGGGAAGUAAACAUGCUCACCACACAGCAUAAGGCAUUCAAUAACAACCAUGUCUCAAGGAGGGUGAAAAAGGAAGAAUGUCCCCAUCCCUGUUUCUGUGAAGGACUACAAUGCCAGCAUGGGGGGUGUCGACCUAUCUGAUGCUCUCUCAGGUCCUCCACAAGACCAGGAAGUGGUAGAAGAUUUUUUUCCCACUUUGUGGAUAUUGCUACAGUAAAUGCUUUCAUUCUCCACAAGCAAAUGGCCAAAGCAAAAGGUCAAACCCCUCUCUCCCAGUUGGCUUUCCGAGAGCAGCUGGUGUUGGCGAUGGCUGAAUUGGGGGCCCAAAACGAACUCACAACCAUCGCAAGACCCCCCACUCAAGGACAAUGACCCAAAACAUCUCCAGGCUGUGUAAGGGCUAUUUGACCAAGGAGGAGAGUGAUGGAGUGCUGCAUCAGAUGACCUGGCCUCCACAAUCACCUGACCUCAACACAUUUGAGAUGGUUUGGGGAUGAGUUGGACCGCAGAGUGAAGGAAAAGCAUCCAACAAGUGCUCAGAAUAUGCCAACAAGUGCUACUUCAAGACUGUUGGAAAAGCAUUCCAGGUGAAGCUAGUUAAGAGAAUACCAAGCGAGUGCAGAGCUGUCAUCAAGGCAAAGGGUGGCUACUUUCAAGAAUCUCAGAUAUAAAAUAUAUUUUUGAUUUGAUUAACACUUUUUUGGUUACUAUGUGAUUCCAUAUGUGUUAUUUCAUAGUUUUGACGUCUGCACUAUUAAUCAACAAUGUAGAAAAUAGUAAAAAUAAAGAAAAACCCAUGAAUGAG